AUAAAUAAAUACAUAAAUCUACACACACACACUCACACCCAACAACUUGGGAAAUCGAGGGUGAAUGGUUAUUUCCCAUCUCACGCCCUCUGAGACGGCACCUCUGUUGGGGGAGUGGGCAAGAGAUUAGUGGGCUGGGGGUAAGGACUGCCUGGUUUCUGGCUAGACGUUUCAUUUCUUCCUGCAUAUUCCUUCAUUAAUUCACUUAACGUUUAACAACUCCCUCCAUAUUGAACACUGUACUCACCGACAGGGACAAAGAUUGUUAUUAAUUACAGCCGUUUCCAUUUGCUUAGAGCUGAGUGUGGAGUAGGCACUGAACACCCCUGUCACCCUCACAAUAACCCUGGUAUUAGCCCCAAAUGUCAGUUGAAGGCGUUUCAGAAAGGCUAGCAAAUUGCUUAAGGUCACACAGCGAAGAAAAUGUCUGUUUUUUCAUAUGCACCUGCUUCUGUGGAUCCAAAGCCUAGGUACUUUUCACUGAGCCCCAGGGUCUUCCAGGAACCUUGGGGUGGAAGGACCUGUAGACAGAUUGCUCUACUCGGGUUACGAAUAGUUUGGGCCACACCCUCUCCUGUGACGCUCCGCAGGCUCCUCCAUUCCCCCUGAGCCUGCUUCUCCAUUUGUACACCGAGGGAGGACAACCACGCCUUUAAGGCGCCCGGAGCCCGGAGCCCGGAGCCCGGAGCGACAGCCUAGGACCGGCAGUCGCUGGCCCUGCUGGGUCCUCAUCACCCACGUGUGCAGACCCCGGCCAGGGCCCGCGCAGCCUCGGGCGCCGGCUUCCAGGUGGUCCCUCGCCUCCCGACCGUAACUUUCAGAGUCGGGCAGACUAAAUACCCUAGUAUGCCUUCAUAGCUGGGUCCCCGCCGCCACCGAAAGGUCAGGCGUACAGGCCCCGCCCCAAACACCGCGAGAGGACGCCGCGCUAGCAGCCGGGCGGGACUGUCUUCCGGGGUCGGCUGGGCGGACGAGACUCGCGCUGUCGCGAGAUCUCGCGAAACCUCGGGCUUCCAGGCCCCAGGUGCAUUAGCAGGGAGCUGGAUUGGAAGUAGAGCAGCUGGGACUCCAACUGGCACCCAAAUGGGAUCCUGGCACUGCAGACAGCGGCUUAACCUGCUCCGCAACAGCACUGGUCCCUGAUCUUCUUUCUGUCUCUAGUGGAGUUGCUGGAUCUUACGUAUGUUCAGCAUCGCGAGGGAUGGCAGACUGUUUCUCCAAGUGCCUGCACCAUUUUACAUUCCCACCAGCAAGUUCAAAGCACUCAGCAGCCACGGUGCCAUUGUCUGGACGCUCAUUUGCUGAGCUCCAGCAGCUGCCACCAGCCGAGGAAUCAGCAGAAGCUUGGAGAGAGGCCCAGAGGAGACCCUGCCCUGUGCCUUCAGAGGCAGUGCAGCCCUGCGGACACUUUGAUCUUGGACUUCAGCCUCCGGAACCAUGGAACACUAAGUAAAUCAGCCGCUCAGUUGGUGCUGCUUUGUUACGGAAUAUCAGCAGGGAGCUAGAUGGGAAACGGAGAAGCUGAGGCUCCAACCAGCGCUUCCAGUAUGGGAUGUGGGCAUUGAAAGUGGUGGCUUAACCCAUGACAAGGCAAGAUCCUCCCCCCUCCCCCCAAACACAAAGGCUUGCUAUGAUGGUAGCAGUUUAUUCCAAGGCAAAGAGGUAGCAUACAUUUCAUCAGUGACACAGGAUAGCUAAUCCUUACACAGCCUGGGACAUAAUUUGAGAACUAAACAGUGGUUUAGGUGUGGAGAUAGAACUUGUGACUGGGCUGUGUUGUCCUCUCCAGCCCUUCCUAAGAGCUUCCAACCUCCCCGCCAUGAUGGCUACUCAGCAGUAGGGUCUUUCUCUUAUCUUCCUGCUGGCAGACUUUGUCCCCCAUUCACCCUCUUCUCCAAAUGCUGUUUGCCUGUUCAUUGGUUUUGCUUACUCGGAGCUUCUGCUUUGUCACAGCCUCACGGCGUCUUCUACCUGCCACCUCUCUGUGCGUUCGCUCAGUUCCUCCCCUGUCAUCACCUUCCCACCUCUCAUAUCACUUCCAGCUCCACAAGAAAGAGAAUCUGGUUGGUUCAGUUCAGACACCGUCCCUUUGGUCGGUGUCCUGUGUGGGCCACCUCACAGCCUCUGCUUGUUGACUUAGUAAUUGUGCACAGGCCACUGGCCCCCUGCUAGACUGUCCCCACUGGGUAGGUGCCCGAUCCUGGGGAGGAGUGUGGAGGGCAAGGUUGAGUAGUGUACAAACAGCAUGGAGAUGGAGAUCCAUGUUUAAGAAACUGCCUUGGGAAGGAGCAGUGGACAUACCAUGGAUUCUAAGCUUUGGCGUUGGGGUGGGGGGUACCAUUUGUUUCGAGGCUUUUGUCUAGCAACGGUUGAAAAUAAUUCAAAAUUGAGAAUCCUGGUGCUAAGGGAGCGACAGUUUGUGUUACUGGUCAGCGAGAGCAUCUCUUACUUGAAAUAAUGAGUCCUAUAGGUGGUAGAGUUAAUAUUUUUCUUUGUUUUGAGUUUUUAAGAAAGAUUUAUUUAUUUGAAAGGAGAGAGAGGGAGAGAGAGAGGGAUAAUAAACAGAUAUUGUCUGCUGGUGCAUUACCCAAAUCCCUGUAAUAGCUGGGGCUGGGCCAGGCUGAAACCAGAAGCCAGGAACUCCAUCCAGGCUUCCCACAUGGGUGGUAGGAACCCAGGACUUAGCUCGUCUUCUGCUGCCUCCCAACUAUAUUAGAGGAAGCUGGCUGCAAAGCCAAGUAGCUGGGACUCAAACUCUGAUAUGGGAUGUGGGCAACCCAAGCGGCGGCUUAGCCUACCGUGCCACAGUGCCUGCCCCCUUUUCUUUUGGAUAGAGCCAGUUUUAAGAUGAAAUGAAAGAACUGGCUCAUAUCCCGGCCUGACGUAUGGUUGCCCCACUUCUUGUCCCAACAAGGGAGCCAGGAGUCCCCGGAAAAUUCUGUCCCCUGUAACUGUGACGUAGAUAAUCUGGGUUUGGGAGGGAUUCACAGGAAAGUAGCUUAUAAUGUUUGAUUUGACCAUGAAUUAACUGCACAUUUCCUAAAUGAAAUCAGCGAAUCCACUGAGUAACUGUUGAGAUGAUUGUUCUGGAGGCUGGAUAACGCCAGCUACACGUGGGAUUGCAUAUUGAUACAAUCUUUCCUGUUAAAUAGUCCAGUCCUCUCUUUCUCUCUCUCUCUCCCUCCCUUCCUUUUUCUCUAUCUUUCCUUCCCUCUCUUACUCCCUUCCUUUUUCUCUCUCUUUCCUUCCCUCUCUCCUUCCUUCCCCUCCUUCUUCUUUUACAAUAUUUUUCUUUAUAGAAAAAUUAUGGGGGCUGGCACUGUGGCAUAGCUGGUAAAGUCACUGCCUGCAGUGCCAGCAUCCCAUAUGGGUGUUGGUUUGAGUCCUGCUCCAUUUCCAGUCCAGCUCCCUGCUAAUGUGCCUGGGAAAGCAGCAGAAGAUGGCCAAAGUCCUUGGGCCCCUGCACCCUCAUAGGAAUCCUGGAAGAAGCUCCUGGCUCCUGGCUUUGGAUGGGCCCAGCUCCAGCCCGUUGGCAGCCAUUUGGGGAAUGAACCAAAGGAUGGAAGAUCUCUCUCUGCCUCUGCCUCUCUGUAACUCUGCCUUUCAGAUAAAUAAAUAAAUCUUAAAAAAAAGGAAAAAGUAUGAAAUGCAUCAUGUACACUUAAGUGUAUUAAAUAUAUAUGUACAGUUUAAAUAUCUGUAGUUCAUAAACAUCUGUGUUCACACUACUCAGGUUAAGAAACAAAUAUUGGGCUGGGUGUUUGGCCUGUGGGUUAAGUUGCCACCUGGGAUGUGCACAUCCCAUAUCAAGUCCCUGAGUCAAGCUCUGCUUCCAAUCCAGCUCCCUGUUCAUUUGCAGCUUGCACGGCAACAGGUGAUGGCUCAGUAGAUGUGUCCUUGCCACCCACACGGGGGACCCAGAUUGGGUGCCAGGCUCCUGGCUUCAGCUUGUUCCAGCCCUAGCUGUUGUGGCCAUCUGGGGA